rnacentral:misc_RNA from 1 species
GAUGAAGAACGCAGCGAAAUGCGAUAAGUAAUGCGAAUUGCAGAAUUCAGUGAGUCAUCGAAUCUUUGAACGCACAUUGCGCCCUGUGGUAUUCCGCAGGGCAUGCCUGUUCGAGCGUCAUUUCAACCCUCAAGCCCCGCUUGGUGUUGGGCCCCGCCCGCUGUGGCCGGCCCUAAAGACAGUGGCGGCGCCGCCUGGCCCUCAGCGUAGUACAUCUCUCGCUCCAGGGUCCGGUGGCCGCCUGCCAGAACCCCCCAACUCUGUGGUUGACCUCGGAUCAGGUAGGGAUACCCGCUGAACUUAAGCAUAUCAAUAAGCGGGA